CCCGAGCAGCCGCCGCCCGGCAGCCCCUCCGCAAACAGCCCGACGGAGCGGGCGGCGUGCCCGGGUCGGGUGAGCCCUGAGACCAGCAAGAGCCCGGGGGCUGUUCCCGCACCCGCCCGCGAGGGGAUCUGGUGGCCCCCGGGGAGCGGAGCCCCCGGCGGUGGCGGGGACGGGGAAGGGGACAGCGCAGCCGUGGCCCUGGUGCUGCGAGGAGGUGACAAGCGAGACCGUGGGCACCUCUUUGGUGCCGUCAGCGCUUCAGGGCGUAAUUCUCCAGGCGGGAGGCAGAUCGCAGCUCCCGGGGUGGGUCACCCUGUCCGGGGCCGGGGAACAGCCAGAGCCGAGGCCGGUCCCGCUCCCCGCGGGGUCAGGGCUGGUGGGAGCGGGACCGGUGACACCCCCGGCCUCUGCUGCCCCUCUCCUGGGACGCCCGGUCCCCACCGGGUACUGCUCUCCCGGGGGCUGGCAGGGCCGCGCAGGGGGUUGGAGUGGGAUGGUUCCCCAUGUCAGUGUCCCACCGGUGUCCCCCGUCCCCGACACAUUGGUCCCACCCGUGGGUGAAGGCCCCAGCAGCAGCAGCUCCCCCGGGGGCGGUGUGAAGGUCUGGGGGUGCCCCAAACGCAGGGAUGCACCCCCUGAGCCCUGGGGUGGGUUCUGGCACCCCCAGCUCUAACCAUGACUGCUGCAAAUUAAUAAAAAGGAAGAAGUAGUUUUGCAUUAGUAACUCCCUAACAGACUGAUGUUUAAAAGGAAAUAUGUUGCUUAAAUCUGCUUGAUCACUGCAGCGAGGCCACUGGCAGCCCCAUUCCUGCUGCCCGUGGUGACAGCAGGAUUUGCUCCCUUCCUCUGGGCACUGCCCGAGCCUGGGGGGCUCUGUGUGACACUUUUUUUUCCUCCUUAUCUGAGGAGUUAUGGGGACAACACCCUUCUCUCAGGAGUGCCUGCAGUCGUCCCUUCCGAACCCCGAGGGGCCGUGGGUCUCCCCUGAUGCUCCUCAGCUCCCUGAGCCUCACUCCUGCCUCAUCCUACACCUUCACCCCAACCACAGAACCUCACCCUGCCAUGGCCUGGCCCAGCACGGCGGGGACGCGGAGGCAGGGAGGGGGGGGAUGCAGCACACGCCAACACAGCCCACCUGAGGGUUUUGCCCCGAGACCCCUCCCCUUGGAGCAGGUGGAGGAGACCGAGCAGCUCCUGAGCCCUUCUCCAGGCCCUUUGCCUUCCCACGGCAAAGCAGCAGGCUCGCAGCAAAUCGAGAGAGAAAAGUUACAAACACUUGGAAACUUUCUUUUACUCAGUGAACUUCUGGCUUCUUGGGCUUCAUAAAAGAUGAGCAUCCUGAUCCCUAAUAAAACACAGUGGGGAGAGGUGAAAUAAAUGGGAAUUAGGCUGAUGAGAGCGAUGGGCUCGUGCACGUCUUCCUCCUCUAUGAUGUUUCAGACUAGAAAGUGCUUCUGACCCCGCUCGGGCUGCGCUGUGUGAGGGGGGGGCAGCCCCAGCACAGCAGCCUGCUCUGGGGGAAAACCAACAAAAAUCAAGUCCAACUGCCAAGUUAUGAAACCUUGUUUACAAACGGUUUAAAUGUUUACAAAAAAACAUUUUGCAUGAAGCUCCACGGUGGUCACUUCACUUGGGCAACUGUGGCCAAAAUCCCUUUUUAAAUAGCGUUUUUUGAAAGCUGUUGCCCGGGUUGGCAGCCUGCGGGGCCGGGAGGAGGCAGGACAAUGCUCCUGUGCCCAGCGCUGCGCAGCGAGCCCCGGAGGAGCCUGGCACUUCCCACCCCAGAACGUUUUCCCACAAAAUGGUGGGAACCAAGUACUGAUUUCCAGAGAUGGCAAUUGAAUUUCUUCUUGUAGUUUUUCUACUUGCUGCAUCCCGGCCCUUGUUCCUGGUCGGUGACUCCUGGUCUUACGAUGGCAGUGAUGGGCUGGCCUCACUCCAAGAACCAACCAUAAGGGAAAGGUUUAUUAAAACACAUUUUAAUAAAUACUAACAUAUUUUUGCCUUC